rnacentral:rRNA from 1 species
GAUGAACGCUGGCGGCGUGCUUAACACAUGCAAGUCGAACGGUGAAGCAGAGCUUGCUCUGUGGAUCAGUGGCGAACGGGUGAGUAACACGUGAGCAACCUGCCCUGGACUCUGGGAUAAGCGCUGGAAACGGCGUCUAAUACUGGAUACGAGACGUGGCCGCAUGGUCAACGUUUGGAAAGAUUUUUUGGUUCAGGAUGGGCUCGCGGCCUAUCAGCUUGUUGGUGAGGUAAUGGCUCACCAAGGCGUCGACGGGUAGCCGGCCGGAGAGGGUGACCGGCCACACUGGGACUGAGACACAGCCCAGACUCCUACGGGAGGCAGCAGUGGGGAAUAUUGCACAAUGGGCGAAAGCCUGAUGCAGCAACGCCGCGUGAGGGAUGACGGCCUUCGGGUUGUAAACCUCUUCUAGCAAGGAAGAAGCGAAAGUGACGGUACUUGCAGAAAAAGCGCCGGCUAACUACGUGCCAGCAGCCGCCGUAAGAC